GCGCAGGCCUGGCCUCUGUGGUGGUUUCCGAUGUACGAGCAGGGGCGGCUUCGUCCCGGGUUUCAUAAUUUCCCGCGUUUUGCGCUGCUGCAAGGUCCAACCGUGCAGCGCUGGGAAUUCUGCGGUUCCUGUCAAAGGAUUUCACGGUCAGCUGGCGUAUACUGCCAUGUCAAAGGAGCACCGGUGGUCACCGUGCGCGUUCCGCCACACGGGGCAGAACCGACAGUGGCCACGUGUGAGCCGGCCUCUGCAGCGGGGCAGCCUGCAGGCCUGUCUGUCGAGGAGAUGCUGGGCCCCGCUGCUACGUCGAGGCGGUGCACCUCAUGGGCCCCUUCCCCGGAACAGAGCUGGUGGCACAGCUGGAUUUGAAUCUGAAGUACAUCUGUGUCAGGGCUUUUGCUGUUCUGGUUCAAUCGGAUCGUCCCAGCACUUUCGCUGCUUGUUACUGGGAAUAAAAGAAGCGCUCUACAAUACGUUGGACUCAAGAGA